AGACCCGAAACCCGGUGAUCUAGCCAUGGGCAGGUUGAAGGUUGGGUAACACUAACUGGAGGACCGAACCGACUAAUGUUGAAAAAUUAGCGGAUGACUUGUGGCUGGGGGUGAAAGGCCAAUCAAACCGGGAGAUAGCUGGUUCUCCCCGAAAGCUAUUUAGGUAGCGCCUCGUGAAUUCAUCUCCGGGGGUAGAGCACUGUUUCGGCAAGGGGGUCAUCCCGACUUACCAACCCGAUGCAAACUGCGAAUACCGGAGAAUGUUAUCACGGGAGACACACGGCGGGUGCUAACGUCCGUCGUGAAGAGGGAAACAACCCAGACCGCCAGCUAAGGUCCCAAAGUCAUGGUUAAGUGGGAAACGAUGUGGGAAGGCCCAGACAGCCAGGAUGUUGGCUUAGAAGCAGCCAUCAUUUAAAGAAAGCGUAAUAGCUCACUGGUCGAGUCGGCCUGCGCGGAAGAUGUAACGGGGCUAAACCAUGCACCGAAGCUGCGGCAGCGACACUGUGUGUUGUUGGGUAGGGGAGCGUUCUGUAAGCCUGUGAAGGUGUGCUGUGAGGCAUGCUGGAGGUAUCAGAAGUGCGAAUGCUGACAUAAGUAACGAUAAAGCGGGUGAAAAGCCCGCU
rnacentral:rRNA from 1 species